AGCUUUGAGCAGUGGCAACAUCAUACCCAGUGAGGUUUAUCCAAGGCGUGAUUAUUGUUAAUUGAAAACUUUUCCCAAAAAGA
rnacentral:snRNA from 1 species